GCAGGGUCAGAUGAGGAAAGAUACUCUGGGGAACUCACGCACGCAGAGGAAUAAGAGGAAGCAGGCAAUGCUCUGUGUAAAGACACUCCACACACACACUCAGGAAAUGGAAGGUAAUGCUGCUGUUAGAAAGGCAAAUUCAUCUCACCGCUGGGCCUCUGUAUGUGAACAGACUUGGUGCUUUGGAACCAGAAGAAAACUGCUGGGGUCCUGACAGUCCCCUCCCUCCCCGUACUACAGAUGAGCAAGCUGAGACCAGGCGAGGGAAACAGCAGAGGAAAAACCAGAACCUGGCCCAGCCCUGCAGCCUCCUUCUUCACCGAGUGCUGCGGACUCUGUUUUGCCUCGUUUCACCUGCAAGUCCCCAUCAUUGAACUUGUAUUUAUUUUUAUGACUCAUACAGGGAACUCGGCAAGCGUGAUAAAGUGCGAUGUCGGGCAAUAAAAUGCCUUGUUCCAAAGCCG
rnacentral:lncRNA from 1 species